AGCGAGAUAAGAUAACAUACCAUGUGGUCUUAGACAGAUUACCUAUAGAUUUGACAUCAUCCUUUCUAGGCCAUUAGCGACACCGGAGUGUCUGCUUGCACUGUAAAGAUGAAAGUAAGAGUCCUGCUACGUGGAACAUCUUCGAUCCUCUGAACUGUCCUCAGGCAACUCAAUAUCAGAGUUCAACGAUACAUCCACCCUCUCAGCAUACAACACAGGAGGCAGAUUGCUCCUGAGGCUCAAGAGAUUCAUACAACUAUACUGAAAAGAUGGCAGAACCUACAUACCAGACCUUACUUCGUCUCCAUAUUAGAGGUCGACCGAUUAUGAUUGUUCAACGCCGAUACCAAU